rnacentral:rRNA from 1 species
UACGUAGGGUCCGAGCGUUGUCCGGAAUUACUGGGCGUAAAGAGCUCGUAGGCGGUUUGUCGCGUCUGCUGUGAAAACUCGGGGCUUAACCCCGGGCCUGCAGUGGGUACGGGCAGACUAGAGUGCGGUAGGGGAGACUGGAAUUCCUGGUGUAGCGGUGAAAUGCGCAGAUAUCAGGAGGAACACCAGAGGCGAAGGCGGCUACCUGGACAAUUGCUGACGCUCAGGCACGAAAGCGUGGGGAGCAAAAGGG